AGAGUUUGAUCCUGGCUCAGGACGAACGCUGGCGGUGCGCCUUAUGCAUGCAAGUCGAGCGAAGCUUUUCAGUAGUUUACUACAGAAAAUGACUGAGCGGCGAACGGGUGAGUAACGCGUGAGCAACCUACCUUAGUUACUGGGAUAGCCCGAGGAAACUCGGAUUAAUACCGGAUAUUCUUAUUUAAUCACAUGAUUUUUUAAGGAAAGGUCAGCCGAACUAAGAUGGGCUCGCGUUCUAUCAGCUAGUUGGUAGGGUAAUGGCCUACCAAGGCUACGACGGAUAGCUGGUCUGAGAGGACGAUCAGCCACACUGGGACUGAGACACGGCCCAGACUCCUACGGGAGGCUGCAGCAGGGAAUAUUGCGCAAUGAGCGAAAGCUUGACGCAGCGACACCGCGUGUGGGAUGACGGAUCUAGGUUUGUAAACCACUUUCAGGAGGGAAGAAAAUGACGGUACCUCCACAAGAAGCCCCGGCCAACUACGUGCCAGCAGCCGCGGUAAUACGUAGGGGGCGAGCGUUGUCCGGAUUUAUUGGGCGUAAAGAGCUCGUAGGCGGUUCAACAAGUCGGUCGUGAAAGUUCAGGGCUCAACCCUGAAAUGUCGAUCGAUACUGUUGUGACUAGGAUACGGUAGAGGUGAGUGGAAUUCCGAGUGUAGCGGUGAAAUGCGUAGAUAUUCGGAGGAACACCAAUUGCGAAGGCAGCUCACUGGGCCGCUAUCGACGCUGAGGAGCGAAAGCUAGGGGAGCAAACAGGAUUAGAUACCCUGGUAGUCCUAGCUGUAAACGAUGGAUACUAGACGUAGGAAUUGGAUUAACGAUUUCUGUGUCGUAGCUAACGCGUUAAGUAUCCCGCCUGGGGAGUACGGUCGCAAGACUAAAACUCAAAGGAAUUGACGGGACCCCGCACAAGCGGCGGAGCAUGCGGCUUAAUUCGAUGAUACCCGUAGAACCUUACCUGGACUUGACAUAUAGGGAAAAGUUAUAGAAAUAUAA
rnacentral:rRNA from 1 species